rnacentral:rRNA from 1 species
UGAGGAAUAUUGGGCAAUGCCCGCAAGGGUGACCCAGCAACGCCGCGUGGAGGAUGAAUGUCGUAAGAUUGUAAACUCCUGUUAGAGGGGAAGAAUAGUACCGGUUGGACCGGUAUAUGACUGUACCCUCAGAGAAAGCCCCGGCUAACUACGUGCCAGCAGCCGCGGUAAUACGUAGGGGGCAAGCGUUGUCCGGAUUUACUGGGUGUAAAGGGCGCGCAGGCGGGAUAAAAAGUCAGUGGUGAAAUCCUACAGCUUAACUGUAGAACUGCCUUUGAUACUUUUAUUCUUGAGUUCGGGAGAGAGAGACGGAAUUCCAGGUGUAGUGGCGAAAUACGUAGAUAUCUGGAAGAACACCAGUUGCGAAGGCGGUCUCUUGGUCCGACACUGACGCUGAGACGCGAAAGCGUGGGGAGCAAACA